CAAGGGCACACCUAGAACCUUAUAGCUGCAAGAGCUUCAGUGAGCUCUUAAGCUUUUGCUGCUCAAAGUGUGGUCCGUGGACCAGCAACUUUAGCAUUUCCUGGAAGCUUGUUAGAAAUGUAGAAUUUCAGGCCCCAGACCAACCCAGCCUAGGCCCCUACAGAAUCAGAAUCUAGAAUUUAACAAGACCUCCAGGUGAUUCCUAUGAACAGCAAAGUUUGUGAAGCAGUGCCCUCGGCUUGUCCUCUGCCUAGCGUGCUAGAGGAAGCGUGGUGGUGGUGGUUCAGCUGUGUGUGUGUGCUGCACAGCCAGACUACAGCUGUACCGGGGCCUGCUGCUUACUAGUGUGUGGUGCUGAGUGUCAUCUUCCACAGUGUCAAUUUCUCAUCUAUAAAUCGGGGGCAUUGACAGUGCCUCCCUCACGGGGCUAUUGCAAGUUCAAUGAAUUAUUGCGUGUGACGUGUUCAGAACGGUGCCCGGCACAUAGUAAGCACCUGGAAACUGUUAGCUGUUGUUCCCGAGUGAGGGGUCAUCCAGCCUCCGCUCAUCCCAUCAAAUGGGCACACACACUUCCCCACCCACAGGGUGGAGGAACAGCCAUUCUUCAGUUAGGCUGCCCCGAGGGGAGAGACCCCUCCUGAUGCUCCUGGAAGCUGUGUCGGGAGGUGACACAGGAGUCUGCUCCCUUGUCACAGGACAGGGUUUCAGUUCUUGGAAAAUGACUCUCUCUCCAAAUCUUCUCAUUUCCAGGCAGUUCUGGUCCCUAUAAGCCAUCUCUGCAGACCUUGGCUGCCAUCCUGAGAGCCAGCCUCUGCACACACAGUAGUUUGCCCAUGCCCUUCUUAAGGGACACUACCAAGAUCAGGACACUGUCCUAGAGGGGUAAUCUCACUUUGUGCCUUCAGACCUGCUGGUUCUGCGGGCAGGCCAGUCAGACGGCUACAGGAUGAGGCCUCUCUGCAGAGGUGCUGCCACGAGGUACCCGAGGUGGAAUGGAUGCUGAGCUGCCCAAGAGGGUCCAUGCAGAGUAGAGAGAACACGGACCACCCUGGCAUCCUGGCCAGCACACAAGGGGAGACGUGGGCAAAGGCAAGGCCCUUCAGUGGGCUCCCCAGAAUCGUGAGAGGGCGGCCCAACAGUCCCCUCACUUCUCCGUGAACCAACUACAGCAAAUGUCCCUGGUCACAGGUAUGAGAGGGCAGACGGUGGCCCAUCCCAAAUGUGGACGGUUCCACAACCUCUUCACCACAACUGGACUUAAAACUUCCUUUAAAACCUUUGGCUGAUGUUCUUGGAAUUCAAACAAAGAAAAGAAGUCCCUAAGAAUAGUAAUACCAAUGAUGAUGAUUACAAUAAUAGGAAUAAUAACUAACAGUUGGGGGACUUGUGUAUUAGGUACUGUUAAAUUCUUGACAUGCAGUGUCUCAUCUAAUUCUCACAACAAGCCUGAACAAGGUGCUAUUGUGACGGGGACAAAAGGUGUCAAUGCUGGGAGCCUCAUCCAGUAGCCACCUCCUCCUUGCCCCUUUCCAGAGAGAUUCUGGGUUUGCCUGCUGGACCACAAGCUCUUUCUUGUGAUCAUUAAUGAAGAGGAGAAUUGAAAGGAGCUGAAAGGCUAAGUUGAUUGACAUUUUAAAAGGUCCUGGAGCUUCUCUCGGAAGAAAACAACUUGUCCAGAAGGCCAGAGGUCAAGAGAGAAAUCAGGGAGAGAGAGGAGAUUUGGAGACGAGAGAGAUUGCUAUAAGGAAGAGGCUGCCUUGAGGACAGGGCUCUGGGGAAUUUUCUGGAUAACGGGGUUUUUAGGGAGUUUUUCUUGUGUGUCUUGCACUACAGCUCUCCUUUGCCACCUCUUUGGGAGAUUUAUAUACAUAUUUACAUUUCUUUUCAAGAUUUGUUUGAGCUGGAGCUUUGUGUCUUCUAGAUGCAACACAAAACUGAGCCGGCCCAGUUUUAUUUGUAUUGCACUAUUAUUAUCCCUGCCACUUAUAGAUAAGGAGGCAGAGAUUAGAGAGUUUAAAUAGCUUACCCAGGGUCACCACUGCCAGUAAAUGUGGAAACCAACCUCCCGUGAGCAAUCCGCUCUGGUGGACGGCAACCACCUCCCACAGUGGUCGGUUCAGAUGUGCAUGAAAACUCAUUGCUAUUUCCAGGCUCCUCCAGGUCACAGGUCUUGUAGUUGCCCAGUUCACACACACAAGUGACUCCAAAACACUUGGGUUGUGAAGAGCAUUUUGCUCACUCCCUUCCUUGGAGUAUGUUCCCCAAAUUGUCCCCUCAUCCUCCUUUCCCUCCUCGAUGAACCACCCAUUCCCUUCCAGAAAAAGGCCUCUGUAGGAGCUUCUCUAACCAGGUAGUGUCUGCAGGAGUGGACAUUUGCUGAGGUCUUCAUCAAGCUUUGACCUUGUACUUUAAAGCCAGAGGCUGCCAUGGCUAAUUAGAGGCCGGCAGGCCUGCCAUGGCCAAAAUCAUUCAGUCCCUCAGUGAUCGUGUCUUGAGCCCACACUGGCAAAACAGCUCUCCCUGGAAGCAACUCUCUUUCCUUUCCCUCUGAAACGCUCCCUAGCUUAAAGCUCUAUUGUCAUAAAAUAAAACAAAGCAUGCCUUAGACCUCUUUAUGUCGUAUUACUUUACUCCAAGUGGCAGAAGGACUGCCAGCAAGGCCAUGUUGAAGAGAUUAGACUAUAGAAAAGAUACAUCUGGCCAGCAAGAAGAGGGAAGGGGGGGACUUUUAUUUUUUUUUAAUCAUAUAAUUAUUCAAGCUUAAAAAAAUAUAGAGAAUAAAUAUCUACCACUCAGUUUUGCAAUCUUUGAAUGCUAUUUCAAACCAUUUCGGUUUGGAUGUGUACCCCUCCCCAAUCCUGCUCCCUAGCCUCACUCCCUCAAAUAUGUUUUUUAAUAUCCUCAUGCAUGUAUUUAUACAUUUACUACAUAUGAGUGUGUCUUAAAGAAUAUAUGGUGGUGUUUUGCAUGUUUUAAAUUUUUACACGAAUUGUAUCAUACUGCACGUAACUUCUGCAACUUGCUGUUUUUACUCAAUGAUGUGUUUUCUGAGAUUGUACUGUUAAUACAUGUAGCUCUUAUUCAUUCAUUUUACCUAUACAGUAUUCCAUUUUGUAAAUAUUUAUACAUUCUCCUGUUGUUGGGCAUUUGACUUAUUUCCAAGUUUUUUCUGAUACAAACAAUGCUGCAAUGACUGUUGCUGCAACUGGAGAGGCCAAUGUGUACAUAUGGAAGGGUUUCUAGGAUACAUAUCUGUGUUAUAGGAAGGAAUUUUUCCCAUGACAAAAUCCUGGGUUGCAUUUCUAGCUAAGAAAUUGCAACCAAGGGCAUAUGAGAUGUGCACCAUGACUCUGCCUCCAGCUUCCACCUUGGGAGCUCCAUGUCCUAGGUGAGUGAAUAUGACCAUCUUUCCAAGAAUGUGGUCCCUGACAAUGCCCUUACCUCCAGACUCAGCUAAAGUCACACAUAUACACCUUACUGUGAAUCAUUUGUCUUGUCUGCUUUCCCUUUUGGAUUUACAGUUGGAAAUAGAGACAUUCUGGAGUGUUCUGAUGAUUCAUACUGAGUGUGACAGUGAGGGAGUCGGAAGGGAGGGCAUGAUUGUUUAAAGAAGGGGAAAUGGGAUUGUUAUACAGAAAUCAGGAGGACUAAUGUUCCACUCAGCCAUUUCUGGGUACUAAACCACCCAGAAAAGAUUUAUUAUUCUCCCAAUUCUAUGGGUUCCUCUGUUGGUCUCUCCUGGGCCUGCUCAUGUGGUUAGUUUCAGCUGGAGGGUUGGCUGGGCAGGAAGACCCAAGAGAGUCUUACAAUUUUAGAAGUUGGUGCUGGCUGUCAUCUGGGUCACCUUUUGACCCCUCCACUCCAUCUCUCUCCUUCCAGUAGGCUGACCCUGCUUCCUUACAUGGUGGUCCUGAGAUAGUGUUCCAGGAGAGUGGAAGACGCUGUAAGGACUCUUUUGGAUGGGGCCUAGAACUCACACAGCAUCACUUCUGCCAAACUGGCCAAAGCAAGCCACAAGCCCCAUCUGGAUUUAAAGGGAGGACACGUUGACACUCUCUCUUGUUAGAAGGAGCAGCAAAGUCAUGGCACUUUGCAAAGGAGCAUAAUACUAAUUGCUUCAGCCAUCUUUGAAAACAAUCCCAUGAUUGAGCAAUUUGGGCAGAAAUGGAAAUUUAACAUCCACCAUUGAGAUUUUAGCUAAAGUCUUCUGUGCAAUUUCCAAAAUACAUCAAGAUGAUAUAAUUCUCAUCUCCCUGGCUUUCUUGGCUAGAAAGAGGUUCACGGAGGGAUAGAGUUUUUUAAUUAUUGAUGAUUGCUGAUUCUUCUCUUCACUUAAAAGUCCAAUGAGGAAUCUACCUUCAACCUUUGUGAAUUAAUUCUUUAAAUAACUUUUUUAAGCACCUAGUGUGUACAGUGCCUUGUGCUAGGUGCUGGGGAUACAGCAGUGAACAAAGCAGAUACAGUCCCUACAAUUUUGGAGCUUUCAUUCUAUGGAAGAGAGAGAGGCAUUAAUUAAACAAUUAAUUACACAGUUAACAAUUUAAUUACAAUGGUGUUAAGUGCCACAGGAGAAGUAAGGAAAAUGUAAGUGGGGGCCCUAAUGUGGUGUCAGAGUCAUGGGAAACCUCCUUGAGGAAGACAUGUGAGCUAAUUUUUGAGGAAUAAGUAGUCAUUAUACAGGCUAAGGGAGUGGGGGAGGGUGGUAAAAGGAAUAUUUCAAGCAGAAGAAACAGUGUGUGCUAAGGUCCUAGAAAGGGAAGAAGCCUGCAUGUUUGAGGAACUGAGAAUUAAGCAGAGGAAAGGGGAGAGUCAACCAGAUGAGGUUGGAGACCAGGCAAGAGCCAGAUCAGGCAGGACCUGGUAGACCAGGGAAAGGAUUUUGGUCUGUCCUGGACUGAACUGUGUCCCCCACAAAUCCAUAUGUUGAAGCCCUAACCGCACAAUGUGACUGUAUUUGGAGAUGGAGCCUUUAAGGAGGUAAUGAAGGUUAAAUGAGGUCAUACAGGUGGGGCCCUAAUCCAACAGGACUGGUGUUCUUAUAUAAGACGAGGAAGCGCCAUCCAGAGAGCGUAUGCACAGAGGAGGAGCCAUGUGAGGACACACAGCAAGAAGGCGGCCGUCUGCAAGCUGAGGAGAAAAGCCUCACCAGAAACCAAAUCUGCCAACACCUUGAUGGUGGAUCUCCAGCCUCCAGGACUGACAAGGUGACAGUGUCUCAGAACCCCAGCGUGAGAGAGAGAACUGGGAGCAAAACCAUCGCUCCUUGCUUACUCCCCAACUUUCUUCCAGAGAGCGCUGACAACUUCAGGAGCUACAUUCAACAGAGAAUUAUUGAGCUGUGUGAUCAGCUGGAGUUGGUGACAUACUGACCUGAUCGCCUCUGACGGGAAACUAACCCUAAAGAUGCCGUUAGUCUUACAUUCAGAAAUUCAUCGUUUCUGUUUUACUUCUGUGUUAUUUUUUUUUAAAGAUAGCUUUGUAUCUGGCCUUUUUUUCUGAAGGGCUUGAACAGGUCUUUGGACCAAAGCAAUAAAAU